rnacentral:tRNA from 4 species
GUCCCUGUAGCUUAAAUAAAGCAUGGUACUGAAGAUACCAAGACGGAUGCCACCUUCCCAAGGACA